rnacentral:rRNA from 1 species
UACGGGGGGGGCAAGCGUUGUUCGGAAUUACUGGGCGUAAAGGGCUCGUAGGCGGCCAACUAAGUCAGACGUGAAAUCCCCAGGCUCAACCUGGGAACUGCGUCUGAUACUGGAUGGCUUGAAUCCGGGAGAGGGAUGCAGAAUUCCAGGUGUAGCGGUGAAAUGCGUAGAUAUCAGGAGGAACACCGGUGGCGAAGGCGGUGGUCUGGGCCGGCACUGACGCUGAGGAGCGAAAGCGUGGGGAGCAAACAGG